GAUGAACGCUGGCGGCGUGCCUAAUACAUGCAAGUCGAGCGAACAGACGAGGAGCUUGCUCCUCUGACGUUAGCGGCGGACGGGUGAGUCACACGUGGAUAACAUACCUAUAAGACUGGGAUACCUUCGGGAAACCGGAGCUACUACCGGAUAAUAUAUUGAACCGCAUGGUUCAAUAGUGAAAGACGGUUUUGCUGUCACUUAUAGAUGGACCCGCGCCGCAUUAGCUAGUUGGUAAGGUAACGGCUUACCAAGGCUACGAUGCGUAGCCGACCUGAGAGGGUGAUCGGGCACACUGGAACUGAGACACGGUCCAGACUCCUACGGGAGGCAGCAGUAGGGAAUCUUCCGCGAUGGGCGAAAGCCUGACGGAGCAACGCCGCGGGAGGGAUGAAGGUCUUCGGAUCGUAAAACUCUGUUAUUAGGGAAGAACAAAUGUGUAAGUAACUAUGCACGUCUUGACGGUACCUAAACAGAAAGCCACGGCUAACUACGUG
rnacentral:rRNA from 1 species